UGCCUGGCUGCGGCCCCGGAUCAUCGUCGGACCGGACAAGGACGUCUGUGGUCAACGGGCUGAGGAAGAAGCUCAAGGAUUCUAUGGAUAGCUUUAAUGACUUGAGGCAGAAGAUAUCGUCUGAGUAUAGAGAGACUGUUCAGCGUAGGUACUUCACCGUCACCGGAGACAACCCUGAUGAGAAAACCGUUGACCUUCUUAUCUCCACCGGUGAAAGCGAGACAUUUUUGCAGAAGGCAAUCCAAGAGCAAGGAAGAGGGAGGGUUCUGGACACCA